rnacentral:rRNA from 1 species
AUUUUCCGGUUGAUCCUGCCGGACCCGACUGCUAUCAGAGUGGGACUAAGCCAUGCGAGUUAACGUAGCAAUACGUGGCACACGGCUCAGUAACACGUGGUCAACAUACCCAGAGGACGUGGAUAACCUCGGGAAACUGAGGAUAAACCGCGAUAGACCAUAAUGUCUGGAAUGAUUUAUGGUUCAAAUCUAUAUGGCCUCUGGAUUGGACUGCGGCCGAUCAGGCUGUUGGUGAGGUAAUGGCCCACCAAACCUGAAACCGGUACGGGCUCUGAGAGGAGAAGCCCGGAGAUGGGCACUGAGACAAGGGCCCAGGCCCUAUGGGGCGCAGCAGGCGCGAAACCUUUGCAAUAGGCGAAAGCCUGACAAGGUUACUCUGAGUGAUCUCCGCUAAGGAAAUCUUUUGACACCUCUAAAAAUGGUGUAGAAUAAGGGGUGGGCAAGCCUGGUGUCAGCCGCCGCGGUAAUACCAGCACCCCGAGUGGUCGGGACGAUUAUUGGGCCUAAAGCAUCCGUAGCCGGUUUUACAAGUCCUCCGUUAAAUCCAGCUGCCUAACAGAUGGGCUGCGGAGGAUACUAUAAGACUAGGAGGCAGGAGAGGCAAGCGGUACUCAGUGGGUAGGGGUAAAAUCCGUUGAUCCAUUGAAGACCACCAGUGGCGAAGGCGGCUUGCCAGAAUGCGCUCGACGGUGAGGGAUGAAAGCUGGGGGAGCAAACCGGAUUAGAUACCCGGGUAGUCCCAGCUGUAAACGAUGCAGACUCGGUGAUGGACUAGCUUUAUGCUAGUCCAGUGCCGCAGGGAAGCCGUUAAGUCUGCCGCCUGGGUAGUACGGUCGCAAGACUGAAACUUAAAGGAAUUGGCGGGGGAGCACCACAAGGGGUGAAGCCUGCGGUUCAAUUGGAGUCAACGCCGGAAAU